ensembl:lncRNA
AUGGUUUAGUUGUGGGGGCUUGUUAGGCAUUUAAAUCAGCUGUGAUGUCUGUGAUUGCUAGGGGGGAAAGACAGUAUGCUUCUGUCUCAGUAAUACCAGGGACGUUGUGUAUGACAGGCUGUUGUGUAUGACAGAACAAAUACAAACAGGUGACUAGAUCUUUCUCACACCCCGGAGAAGGCCAGAACUGAGACCACUGUGUCAGAGAGCGGGCUGGGAUGAGGUGACAUGGGUUCAGUGAGGUUUCGGGUUUGCGGUUUUGGAGUAGAGGGAGUCCUGGUGUUGCUUGGGAGUGCCCUGCUGAGUUUUAUGUCUUAUCUGUCUGUCUAGCUACAUGUUGUCAUUCAGUCUAACAGGCUUUUUACCCCCACACACCCAGUCAGCUGCUAUUGGCACCUCCUGGAACAGUGGGUCAAACCAUCUCAGUGUGCCCCGUGGAUUGUGUCAGCCUGCUCCGAUCCAGCCGACAAAACCUUAAUUCCCUGGGAUCUCAUCCCGUUGUUCUCUCUCUAUCAGAGAAAAACAUGCUUUUUUUCUAUCUGACUUUAUCUCUGUCGCUUUUUUUCAGACAGUCCCUCACUCCAGCCUCAAACACACACAUACAGGCACGCGUGCAAAAACCCGCGCCAACACACACACACACACCGUCAGGCCAGUAGCUGCACGUCCACGCUCUCCCUCUCACCACACCAGCGAUGGGUUUACUGCUGCGAUGAGCCGUAACCAUGAACAUGAGUCCGGUAACUACAGAGGUCAUCCGCAGCAGUCUGCCGCACGGCAUGGUGGGCCUGCCUGCAGGAGGGACGUCUUCACAACCAGCUGGGCGUCUCCUCGGGCAAACCUCAACCCCAGACAUAACUGCUAUGGAGCCAUUCACAUCACACAGUCUCUGGGUUUAGUGUACAGUAGGAGACCCUUAAAAUGGAGACAGACAGAAAGACAGAGAGAGAGAGAGAGAGAGAGACCGGGGGAGACCGAGAGCAGUGGAAUACUUUGUUAGAGCUGCAUCAGUGUGGUGUCCAUCUCUGCACGUGCCGUGAUUGUGUGGAUGAGUGGAUGUGCAGUCAGGUAGCGUAUGAUUGGAUCAGUGGGUGAAACCAUUUGAGCAAUGGAGACAUUCACUUUCUGUCGUCUGUCUCGGUUAGCGAUGUACAGGGACCUGGAGGGAGAAAACCCUGUUAGCAUUCUGAUGCACAAGCUGUAAUGAGGCGUUAACCUUGCCCUUUUGUAUUUACGCUGUUGCAAGAGGAGGUCCUGAGAGAGAGAACGAGCAGGGAGAGAAGCAGGGAGAGAGGCAGGAGAGGAGCAGGAGAGGAGCAGGGAGAGUGGCAGGAGAGGAGCAGGGAGAGUGGCAGGAGAGGAGCAGGGAGAGAGCCAGGUGAGAAUCAGGGAGAGAGCAUUGCCCUUUAUUUAAUCUGGGCCCGUGUUAGUAGCAAGCCUCCAUCAAUGAAAGAAUGCAUACACAGCUGUAGAGCCACUGUGUUUAUAUAUGUGUGUGUGUGUGUGUAUGUGCAGCAUCCAUUCCUAGCGUUUGUGUAAUUUACCUGUAUUAUCAGUACUGAGAAAGCUUUCAAGAGGGGCUCCAAGUGAGUAGGUAUAAGAUGAAUGGAAAUUGUGUGAAGACUACUACUGUCAGUAAAAUCACCAUGCAAUCUCCUUUCCUAUCUCUCUCUUCUUUUCUCUCUCAUCUCCCUCCCCCUCUUCGUCCUCAUUUCACUCCGGUCUCGCCUCCCUCAGCCCCCCCAGCCCCCCCCCCCCCCCUCCUCUCACUGCUGCUUCCCUGUAGCACAGUGAAGACAGGUCAUCUUGACACUAAACCCCCACACAGCUCUCUACUGUAGCUCACUGUCAUCUCAUUACAAGCUGCUUUCUAUAGCAAUGCGUGUGACUCGGAUGACAGCUCUGUAGCAGCAGACAAAGCCUGAAAGCCACAAGUGUGUCAGUGCUGUCUCCAGACCGUCAACUACCAGUGGUGUCCUCCCUCCAUCUGCCUUCUAACAGAGAGAGAGAGAGAGAGAGUGAGAGAGUAGGGUGUCAGCUGUUACCAACCCUAGGAGAGGGCAUACACUCUAUGAGAGCCACAAUACCUGAGGCAUCAGAAAAGACUCCCUGGACCUUGUUCAUACAGGCUCAGUGCCCAACACUCAGCUCACCAGGCAGUCUGAGGAGACAGAACACUGUUUCUAUGCUGCUGCUGCCGCUUCAUCCCAAGGAGAUGUUCAACACUUCCUGUGAGGAGGCCUAACGUGAAACAUCACAGUGCUUCAGAGGUGCUGUGUGAAUAUGACAAUGGCGAUGAUCUGGACAGGGGCUGUGUGAAUCUGGUCCUCAAGUAUUAAUCCGUAUUUAUUGAUGUUCUUAUUAAUUCCAGUCCUGUCAUAUUGUAUGAUAUUCUUUACAAGACA